rnacentral:rRNA from 1 species
CUCAAAUGAAUUGACGGGGGCCCGCACAAGCGGUGGAGCAUGUGGUUUAAUUCGAUGCAACGCGAAGAACCUUACCUACUCUUGACAUCCAGCGAAUCCUUUAGAGAUAGAGGAGUGCCUUCGGGAACGCUGAGACAGGUGCUGCAUGGCUGUCGUCAGCUCGUGUUGUGAAAUGUUGGGUUAAGUCCCGCAACGAGCGCAACCCUUAUCCUUUGUUGCCAGCACGUAAUGGUGGGAACUCAAAGGAGACUGCCGGUGAUAAACCGGAGGAAGGUGGGGAUGACGUCAAGUCAUCAUGGCCCUUACGAGUAGGGCUACACACGUGCUACAAUGGCAGAUACAAAGAGAAGCGACCUCGCGAGAGCAAGCGGAACUCAUAAAGUCUGUCGUAGUCCGGAUUGGAGUCUGCAACUCGACUCCAUGAAGUCGGAAUCGCUAGUAAUCGUAGAUCAGAAUGCUACGGUGAAUACGUUCCCGGGCCUUGUACACACCGCCCGUCACACCAUGGGAGUGGGUUGCAAAAGAAGUAGGUAGCUUAACCUUCGGGAGGGCGCUUACCA